UACGAAGGGGGCUAGCGUUGUUCGGAGUUACUGGGCGUAAAGGGCGCGUAGGCGGCGCAUCAAGUCAGGCGUGAAAGCCCUGGGCUCAACCCGGGAAUUGCGCUUGAGACUGGUGUGCUCGAGUACGGGAGAGGAUAGUGGAAUUCCCAGUGUAGAGGUGAAAUUCGUAGAUAUUGGGAAGAACACCAGUGGCGAAGGCGGCUAUCUGGACCGUAACUGACGCUGAGGCGCGAAAGCGUGGGGAGCAAACAGG
rnacentral:rRNA from 1 species